UAAAAUGAUAGGUCAUGGGGAGUUCAGA
rnacentral:sRNA from 1 species